GUAAGGAGAAAGGCAGUCAGCCUGAGCUGUAUGCAAGGGGACUUUGACAAAUUUGCUGCCAGUCAGCUACUUGGGAUGACCUACCCACAAAGGGACCUACCCAAGCAGAGACCUACCCACAAGGACCCAGGAAGCAGGAGAUGAGGUGCUUACAGUGCUCAUCAUUAUAAGGUUGGGUGAUGCUCUGAGUGACAAGUCGAUAGCCCAGCUGACAAAAAGCAGAUAUGGACCUAGAUCUGAAGCCAUAAUCCAAACUUCUGUGUAACAGUGAGUCUCAGCAGUGAAAGAAAUGUAGCAAAUACAUAAUUUAAUCUGAAAGCAGAAGAGGCUGAGAGGCUCUACAGUCAGAGAACAUUUGCAUUUUGAUCCCAGAGGAAAAGGUCAAUCAACUAGGAGGUUUUGUCUGAUUUCCCAAAGUAGCAGUUUAAAUGGGAUCUACUGCUACCUGCCAACAACAGCUAUAAGGGAAAGGACUACAGAGGACUGCAGCGAAACCUGGAAUAGUGCAUUACUACUGAGAAUACACAUUUACAUUAACAGCGCUAAGACAGUGCUGUCUUCCGAUGUUAAGCAAACAUACCUCUGCAAUAGCAAGAUGCUAGAGGGAAAAUGUCACUGUUUUAUCUGCCACUAACCCACAGGGGCCAGCAGAUGAUC